rnacentral:rRNA from 1 species
GAUGAACGCUGGCGGCGUGCCUAAUACAUGCAAGUCGAGCGAACAGAUGAGGAGCUUGCUCCUCUGACGUUAGCGGCGGACGGGUGAGUAACACGUGGAUAACCUACCUAUAAGACUGGGAUAACUUCGGGAAACCGGAGCUAAUACCGGAUAAUAUAUUGAACCGCAUGGUUCAAUAGUGAAAGACGGUUUUGCUGUCACUUAUAGAUGGAUCCGCGCCGCAUUAGCUAGUUGGUAAGGUAACGGCUUACCAAGGCAACGAUGCGUAGCCGACCUGAGAGGGGGAUCGGCCACACUGGAACUGAGACACGGUCCAGACUCCUACGGGAGGCAGCAGUAGGGAAUCUUCCGCAAUGGGCGAAAGCCUGACGGAGCAACGCCGCGUGAGUGAUGAAGGUCUUCGGAUCGUAAAACUCUGUUAUUGGGGAAGAACAAAUGUGUAAGUAACUAUGCACGUCUUGACGGUACCUAAUCAGAAAGCCACGGCUAACUACGU